UUCACCAACUCUGAUCAUACUUAGUCAAGGCCAUAUCACAGUGGAGGUUCCUUCCUCCCUUCAGAGAAAGCUGCCUCCUUCUUUGAUGGCCUGUUUUUUCUGCUGAGAUCUCAUUCACCGAGAUCUUUCAUUCAGGUCGUUUUUGCCACAGUGUCUUUGCUUUCCAUGCCUGCGAGACUCUCAUGGGCCUUUUAGCUGGAUCCGAAUGCCCCAAGGGUUGUUUCUGAGGCCGGAGUGCUGUUUAAGGCAUUUGCCAUUCUAUGAGUCUGCUGUGUGUCCUGCUUCCCCUGCAGGAUCAUUCUCUUCCUUUUAAUUCUAUCCUUCAUUAUUUGCAGACAUUGGAUUUAAUUGUGAAAAUCUCUGACACUUAACCUAUCUUUUUGAUCAAUUAUGUACUUAAACUGAUCACUUUAACAAGUGAGAUGGCACUGGUACAGCCUCCUUGAUGGGACUGAAUUGGAAUCCCCUGGCACAUUUCUAGCUCUACCAUUGGAGGUCUACUAAAACAAAAUGACUAUAACUACGUACAUAGUAAGAAGUGGGGGCUCAGUGGAGUCGAACGAUGCUUUGAGAGAAAAUAGAAAAAAUCACAAUUCACCAACUUCUAAAAGUAAUGAUGACCAUGUAGGGCACACAGCCAUUGGUGGUGACUGGAAAUUCUCCAGCUCAUGAAGUGGAUUCAUCAGAUGGGACAGGAAGAUAUUUCCGGACCUGAGAGAGGCAGGGGCUGCGUCCAUGGUCAGCAGGAAGUAGGCACAGAAGAUAUGAUGACUCUACAUCCUUCAGCAUCCUCUUGAGAUUAGGGGUCAGAAUCUCUGAUGGGUAAUGAUGUGGGAAAAGUCAGGGAGAUGGAUAGUUCAUGAGCUGGAGGCUACACCUUUCCCACCUCCAUGAAAUCCUAUUAACACAUAUGUUAAUCAGAUGACCCUGCCCCAGGACGAACCUCCUCUUACCUGGAACCUGGGGUCAGUACUAUGGAACCACUCUGCCUUUUCAAAGCUCUUAACAAACUUGGUGGAGAGGAAUGCCCUCUCUCUCUCUCUCUCUCGCUCUCGCUCUCUACCUCGUGCACCCAGGACAAGCAGAGCAGGGCAUGAAAUUCCAUUUUUAACUUUUUGGCCCAUCUCCCUAAAUGAAGCCCUCAUGUGCUCACUUUGUAAAUAAACCUUAUCACGCUGAAAAAAAAAAAAAAAAAAAAAAGAAAGAAAGCUUUAUGGGUCAGCACCCAAGCAUAGCUUGUUAAACUGCUGCCCGCGAUGCUGGCAUCCCAUAUGGGUGCCGGUUUGUAUCCCAACUGCUCUUCUUCUGACCGAGCUCCUUGCUAAUAUACCUGGGAUAGCAGUAGAAGAUGGCCCAAGUGCUUGGAACCCUGCCAUCGCAUGGGAGACCAGGAAGAAGCUCUUGUUUCCUGGCUUUGGGCUGGCCUAGCCCUGGCCACUGCAGGCAUUUGAAG